rnacentral:lncRNA from 1 species
CAAGUGGUGGCUGGGUGGAGCUGGGGGGUUUCAUGCUGCUGGCCUGAGAAACAGUAUCAGCUCUUGUGUGCAAACUGGGAGGAAGGAUGAAGAGGAGGAAAGGUCCCUAAAAGGAAAUCCAGAGUCUCUCAGACUACAAAGGAAUCUGGAAGGAUUUGAUAGCUGAGGCUUUUCUUGUCGCAAGAACAAAGGGUAAGUAGCUAUCUCUUUCAGCAGCCUAGAGAGGCUUCUAGCCAAGGCUGAGAGAUUAAGAGAAGCUACCUGGCAGGCAAGUUGGCUUUUAAAGGGAAAAAACAGGCUUUUAAGCUUUUGAGACAAGGGAGAGCUGAGCUGAACGCACAGGGAACAGCGAGCAAAGCAGAGGUGUUUUAUAUGCUCUCCUGGUUGCAAGGGUAAUGGAGUAGGAAAGAAUUGGCAAAACCCCCUUGUUUUUCUUUUUUGGACCCUUGUAGCAUAACAAGUAAAUGUUAUGUAGUACAGGCAUGUUUUAAUUGCUCUUGAUUGCUUCCAACUCACUUGCUGUCUCAGCUAUUUCAGCUGCAAUGAGGAGUUUACCUCUCUAAGUGACCUCAGUUUCCUCUGCUUCCACCUUCAUUAGUACAUAAAUAUUUCAGAGAAGAGCACAAAGCCCAGGUAUCCUACAGCUGCGGGGACGGAUAUAAGCUCAGAAGUGCCUGAGUAACUUUUCCAUAAGCCCAAUUUACUUUGAGCUGUGUGCUGCAAAGUCACUCGGUGCCCUCAGAGCUCAGUGCAGUGAUGUCUGUGCACAAGGUCAGAGGGAGCUGCAGCUCUCAGGGACAGCUGCCUUUG